CCUACGGGUGGCUGCAGUGGGGAAUAUUGGACAAUGGGCGAAAGCCUGAUCCAGCCAUGCCGCGUGUGUGAAGAAGGCCUUCGGGUUGUAAAGCACUUUCAGUGGGGAAGAAAGCCUUGGGGCUAAUACCCUCGAGGAAGGACAUCACCCACAGAAGAAGCACCGGCUAACUCCGUGCCAGCAGCCGCGGUAAUACGGAGGGUGCGAGCGUUAAUCGGAAUUACUGGGCGUAAAGCGCGCGUAGGCGGUCUGAUAAGCCGGUUGUGAAAGCCCCGGGCUCAACCUGGGACCGGCAUCCGGAACUGUCAGGCUAGAGUGCAGGAGAGGAAGGUAGAAUUCCCGGUGUAGCGGUGAAAUGCGUAGAGAUCGGGAGGAAUACCAGUGGCGAAGGCGGCCUUCUGGACUGACACUGACGCUGAGGUGCGAAAGCGUGGGUAGCAAACAGGAUUAGAUCCCCGGGUAGUC
rnacentral:rRNA from 1 species